rnacentral:tRNA from 1 species
GUUAAUGUAGCUUAACAUUAAAGCAAAGCACUGAAAAUGCUUAGAUGGAUUCUAAUAAAUCCCAUAAACA